GGCUGAUGGCACAGGGAACCUGAAGGGGCUCAACAGAGGGCGGAGUUGGGUGGGACAGGGCCAGAGAGAGGAGCUGGCUGCCAGCUCUGGCCCCACGGUGGCAAGGCUCAGGCCCAGCAGGCCUUCUCCUCCUCUGAUAGAUGAGCCAGAUCCUGUGGUCCUGCGGUUCCCAGGGCCUGAAAUGGGCCAAAGCACAAGAGGAGGAGGAGGAGGAGGAGGCUGGAGGGCCUGGCAGAGUCCUAAGGCUUGGGUGCAGUUGGGAGCAGUUGUUCUAGAGCCUGAGGGGGCAAACAGGCAGCCAAACACCCCUGAGCUCUUCUCAGGUUUUCUGGCUGGAGCCCAAUGCGGGGGGAAGGGGUCCUGCACCCCCAACAGGGAGGAUGUCCCCAGAAGGGACAAGAGUGUCACAGGCUGCCGGGGAUCCCCACACACACACCCACUACCAGACAAACCCCAGGGACUGCGUGCUUGCCAGAUUCUGUCCAGGGUGCCCCACAGCCCCCUGCAGCCUGGCGCCUCCUCCCCCACCCUGCCCACCUCCAAUGACCAUGACCAUGACUUCGUGUCUUAUGGCGGAUGCAGAUGGGAAGAUGGCAUGAAGAGGAUGGAGAGGGGAAAAGAACUCAAACUAUGAGAAAGAAGGCAACAGAGAGCGCGAGACGGAGAAAAGUAACAUGUUUUAGGUACCAAAACAUGCCACCUAGCCAUAUAAGCAGCUGCACCUAGAGCUCUCAUGCUCUUGAAGACCUUCUCCCUCAGCAGGAUGCUCCUAGACUGCCACUGUAGCCUUUGAAGCAGGCUGCCUUCGAGGCUCCCCAACAAGCCCAGGGACUGCCACCUUGCUAUGGCCAGGCAUGCAGUAUUCAAGUCCCACUGACUGAGCUGAACUAACUAGUCCAUCCCGCUGUACUUUAAAACCAUUGAGCCCUGGGAUGUCUGGGUGGCUCUGGUUGAGUGUCUGCCUUCAGCUUGGGGUGUGAUCCUGGAGUCCCAGGAUCAAGUCUCACAUCAGGCUCCCUGCAUGGAGCCUGCUUCUCUCUCUGCCUAUGUC